ensembl:lncRNA
GUCCUAUAUAAAGCACAGCUCAAAGCCGCUCUCUUCACAACACUGCCUGUGUGAUGAGUUCUCACUGAUUGGCACUCAAGUUAAUAGAUACGUGACAAAAUGGCUGAUUGUUCAGCACUCUUCCAUGUGGUGUUUGUCUGCAAUAUUGUGAUUUUACUCUUCAGUGGGGUCCUGAACAUAAUUUUAUGUGACAGACUGAGGAGAAGAAAAUGUGAACUGUGUGCAGCACAUCACAGGAGGCUUCACCUGGCUGUCCCUCCUCAACAAAACUCUGUGUCUGAUGAUCAAGAGAGUGAGGUGAACUAUACCAUGCUGCAAUUCCCUGAAGACAACACAAAAACAGAGAGCUCAGAGAAGAGCAGAAAUGACACUGUCUAUUCCAGUCUUAAAUGCCAAAUCUCAAACAUCACUGAGGAAAACUAAAUCAGGAUUUUCAGAGCUCCACAGUGCAGAUUUCCAGCAGGACACUGGAUCUCUCCCUCCGCAGACCAGGAUCAUCACCACUGACCCAGAACCAAUGACCAGCCAUAAAGCGCAGAUCAGUCCACACAUAAACUGUCUGGGAUGUUAUAGUAUAAUUUAUCACCUCUUCCAUAAUUGUCUCAGAACUUAGACUUGCCAGAUCAGUGUACUCUUUUCUGCAAUAGUCCAGGGCUUCAUCCCACGUCUUAUUCUGAUGAACCAAAACUGGGCUGAAGACCUUCAUACAGUAAAAAGAUAGAGUCUCAGAGCAUGGAAUGUUGUGCAGUUUAGAAGUGGAUAUUUUUAACCUGCCACAAUUUUCAGAAUAAUCAUCUGGUUGUUCGCUAUCCCAGUUGUCAAUUGGUUGCCUCUCACCUCCAGACCAAAUCCAUUUUUCUGGGUUGUUAGAACUUCUGUAUAGUCCAGCCCAUUUAAAAUGAUACACAGAAUCUGUAUAAACGCAAAACUUUUCUGCCUCUCCUUUAUUGAUGGUGGAAAGGUCGUCGUAGUAUUUUCUGCAGUAUUUCUGUUCAUCAUUCAGUCAUUUUUUUCCCCACAAAAUAAUGGAUUCUAUAGGCACUGAGGUACAGUCCAAAAAGACUCAAAAGUAAGAACACAUUGACUGCAGCCUUCAUUUCUGUAUGGACGAUUUACACAGUAAUGCCUAAGUGUGCACUCAACUACGAUGAUAUUAUGGCAUCUCUUAAAGAUUUUUAAUAAGAGACCAAUAAAAAAGCUGUAAGGGAACUGGCCAAUCAGAAGGUCUCACCCUUGAAGUAUUUGUGUAGCAAAUGUUUAAAUAAAUCAUGCAUCAUUGCAAAUAUUUUGAUAGUAAAGAAAACAGGUCAUGCACGUCAGACAAAGUAAAAAAAUAAAAUAAAAUAAAUAAUAAAAAAGCAAAGUUAAGUUAAGAGCACAACAUUCUGAUUUGACAUAAUAAUCAAUGAAACAAAUAAACAAAUAAAUAAAUAAAUAUAUUAUUAUGUAAUAUUUUCUAAGAAUGGGAAUUGUAGGGAAUUUAAUAGUUACAAUUCUGGUUCAUUGGUGGUUCCAUUAACACUUGUUUUACAUGGUAAAGAAAGAAAUACAUUUAGAAUAAAGCAAUGAAAUUAUUAUUACAUUGACAGUCCUCAGCAGUUUUUUUUUUUUUUUUUUUUAGAAAUAAAUGCAGUUGUUUCAAAAAGUGUUUACAUAGACUUUUAAUGACUUGACAACAGUUCUCGGUUCAUUUCGGACAUGACUCUGGAUUCACUAAAAAGAACCGGCUCAUGAGUUGCUCGUUCGGGAAUUUGAAGACCUACACAGUGUUGCCAAGUCCGCGUUUUUUUUUUUUCUUGUAAAAACCUGGCAACCCUGGCCCUACGUAUUUGAUUUAGAUACGAGUUAUUUGUUUGGGGAAAAGAAUCGGUUCAUGAGUCUUUCGUUUCCAAUGUUUGUGUUUCCCUCUGUAGAAUCAGACACGUUGUCAAUAAUUUAGUACGGUUUCCGUCCACAUCGAGCGUCAUAAAAUAGGCUUUUAUUUGGUUCCAGUACCAUUAAACGUUUUUCAGUUGUAAUUUGCCUAUGUAAAGCAUGCACCGCCAAGAGUCAUUUAAGAGUCGUUCAGCAGCAGCUGCACGAGCAGGUUUUGGACUUGAUCUUGAGGAUCACGCUUUUGCAGGUUUGUUUUAAUUGUUUACACAUUCAUAUUUGAUUUAUAAGCGUGUUUUAUUAUCUGUUGUAUCGCAUUACUAUUUAACUGUGUGAAAAACUUCUCCAAGCCAUUCAGUGGGUGAUCUCUCCAAUAAAUCCCGACCGCUGUGCUGCUAACCCGUUUGACCAACUCACAAAAAAAGAACCGACUCAUUCAAUCAUGUAUCAUGCAUAGCUAGUUCUUAUUCUAAAGUCAUUUAAGAAAAUACGAAACACACGACAUGAUUGGUGAAAUAGAAAAAAUGAUUAUCAGGUCGAUAAAUUGUAGUGUCCAUCACAAGGCAAGAUUCAGUAACAUUUUACUGGGGGUCAUGGCCUGGUAUAUUAGUUGCAACCAAGAGAUGGCGCUCCAUGGUUUACUUGGUCUAUUACACAAACACAAUGACACUCUCACAACUCUUCUCCGGUCUCGAAUCAAACGCAUUCAAACCCACUGAAACGGUUACCAACAUGAGAGUGCUAGAAACACCAACCUGAUUUUUGUUUCUCACAAUAUCAAAAUCUCAGUGUACCCCUUCCUAAACCCAUAUUCAAAAAU